rnacentral:rRNA from 1 species
AAGGCCGAGAGCUGAUGACGAGUUACCCUUUGGGUGACGAAGUGGUUGAUGCCAUGCUUCCAAGAAAAGCUUCUAAGCUUCAGGUAACCAGGAACCGUACCCCAAACCGACACAGGUGGUUGGGUAGAGAAUACCAAGGCGCUUGAGAGAACUCGGGUGAAGGAACUAGGCAAAAUGGCACCGUAACUUCGGGAGAAGGUGCGCCGGUGAGGGUGAAGGACUUGCUCCGUAAGCUCAUGCCGGUCGAAGAUACCAGGCCGCUGCGACUGUUUAUUAAAAACACAGCACUCUGCAAACACGAAAGUGGACGUAUAGGGUGUGACGCCUGCCCGGUGCCGGAAGGUUAAUUGAUGGGGUUAGCUAACGCGAAGCUCUUGAUCGAAGCCCCGGUAAACGGCGGCCGUAACUAUAACGGUCCUAAGGUAGCGAAAUUCCUUGUCGGGUAAGUUCCGACCUGCACGAAUGGCGUAACGAUGGCGGCGCUGUCUCCACCCGAGACUCAGUGAAAUUGAAAUCGCUGUGAAGAUGCAGUGUAUCCGCGGCUAGACGGAAAGACCCCGUGAACCUUUACUAUAGCUUUGCACUGGACUUUGAAUUUGCUUGUGUAGGAUAGGUGGGAGGCUUUGAAGCGUGGACGCCAGUUCGCGUGGAGCCAUCCUUGAAAUACCACCCUGGCAACUUUGAGGUUCUAACUCAGGUCCGUUAUCCGGAUCGAGGACAGUGUAUGGUGGGUAGUUUGACUGGGGCGGUCUCCUCCUAAAGAGUAACGGAGGAGUACGAAGGUGCGCUCAGACCGGUCGGAAAUCGGUCGUAGAGUAUAAAGGCAAAAGCGCGCUUGACUGCGAGACAGACACGUCGAGCAGGUACGAAAGUAGGUCUUAGUGAUCCGGUGGUUCUGUAUGGAAGGGCCAUCGCUCAACGGAUAAAAGGUACUCCGGGGAUAACAGGCUGAUACCGCCCAAGAGUUCAUAUCGACGGCGGUGUUUGGCACCUCGAUGUCGGCUCAUCACAUCCUGGGGCUGAAGCCGGUCCCAAGGGUAUGGCUGUUCGCCAUUUAAAGUGGUACGCGAGCUGGGUUUAGAACGUCGUGAGACAGUUCGGUCCCUAUCUGCCGUGGACGUUUGAGAUUUGAGAGGGGCUGCUCCUAGUACGAGAGGACCGGAGUGGACGAACCUCUGGUGUUCCGGUUGUCACGCCAGUGGCAUUGCCGGGUAGCUAUGUUCGGGAAAGAUAACCGCUGAAAGCAUCUAAGCGGGAAACUUGCCUCAAGAUGAGAUCUCACUGGAACCUUGAGUUCCCUGAAGGGCCGUCGAAGACUACGACGUUGAUAGGUUGGGUGUGUAAGCGCUGUGAGGCGUUGAGCUAACCAAUACUAAUUGCCCGUGAGGCUUGACCAU